rnacentral:lncRNA from 1 species
CCCGGGAACAGAACACAGGUCAGUGUGGCUGGAGCAGAGUGAGUGUGCUUAUCUGUGUGGGGUGGGUGAGGGACGAGGGUGGGAAGGCGAGGGUGGGAAGGCUGGGCUGGUAAGGGUCCAGGAAGGAGAGGCAAGUAGGAGCCAGAUCACGAAGGGCUUUGUGGGCUUUGUAGGCAUUGUAAAGACUUUGGAAAUGACAUUAGUCUUUUUUCUUUUAAGAGCUCCGUCAGUACAAAAUGCUGCUGAGAUUUUUUUUAACUGACGUAUAAUUGAUUUACAAUGUUGUGUUAAUUGCCGGUGUACAGCAAAGUGAUUCAGUCUCUCUCUCUCUCUCUCUAUAUAUAUAUAUUCAGUCCUAUAUAUAUAUCUGAAUCUGAAUAUACAUGUGUUCUAGGUUAUUACCAAAUAUUGAAUAUAGUUCUCUUAAUUCUCUAUGCUUUAUCUUGUUGGUUAUCUAUUUUAUAUAUGAAAUGACGUUAGUCUUCUGUGCCUUGUUUCUAUGUGAAAUCACCCUUGUUGCUGAUAACGACAUCCAUUCGUUUAAUAAUCAACUCUGGACUUUUGCUGGAGGUCGAGGUUUAGGUUUUUCUAUGUGAAAUCUUCAGAAGCCAUCCCUUUUCCCUUGUUGAAAGUGAAGCCAUUGCCUUUUGACAUAUCUCCUAUUUUCCAUGAUUUUUCAAAGAUCACGUGGAGUGAUGCUGAGUCCACAUCUGCAACUUCCUCCAAUAUCCGAGGAUCUAAUACAGAUCAGCCUGGAGACAGGAAUGCAUUUUCAAUGAGUAAAUUCUUUUUUUUUUUCUUCACUAGAUGGUGGCACAUCUUCACUGCUGUUUCUCUUUGUAUAGUGUUUGUGCUGUUCUCUUCCAUUUGAAGCUAUCAUUUGAUGGCAAAGGCAUAAGUAGAAUAGCAACUGAACUGAGUCUUCCUUCCACUGGUUGUUAAAAUUGUACCAUUUCCCUACCUUUUUUUUUUUUUGCUUUGAACAUACUAAUCUUGGUUCGAUUUUUCACAUGAAUUUUAGCUCAGAUAGUGUAUUGAUUUCUAAAUAUUGGUGUUUCCAUGGGCUCUUUUAGAUUUGUAUUGAUAACCAUUAAUGGUGGUAAUCACUUCCCUCCAGAUCUCUGGGGCAUUUUGACACCUCAGUUUUCCUUAUGUCCAACAUUUGGCACCCAGUCCUUAUGUUAGUGAGGACCCUUCGUCGAAAGCAGUAGAAAUAUGUCUCCACUGAUUUAAGUCUCAAGUGAUUUCCACCCCCGUAGGAUCUAAAGCCUUUAGAAUGUUAACAAGACUCUGUGUCUUUUUGCUUUGUUUUUUCUAUUUGUUUUCAUUCUUAGGUGGCUCUUCAGCCUGGCCAUCCCAGCAAAAGAAAAAAGAAUCUCUUCUCUAAUAACACCAGCAAAAAUCAUUCCUUCGCAAGAUAUGGUGUUCUCUUUGGCCAAGUGUGGGGUACAUGCCCCGCCUAAGCCAUAUGGCCUGUAAUGGAAAAGGUGGUUCCUCAAGGGAAGAUGAAUCAGAGUUCUGUUAUGACAGAGAGAUUGGAUAUUAGGAGGAAGAAUGGAUCUUUUCUUCUCUACGUGUGACCCCAAGCACAGGGCAGCCAGAGGGCUCACUGACAUGAUGUCUUAAUCGAGGUAAGCCUUGGCUUUCCUGGGCUAAUGAACCCACACAGCUGCAGAGGUGCACGCAUGCCCUGAGCUAGUUUAAGCUACACACCCAUUCUGCUGUACCUGCUGCUCCUCUGCCUAAAAUAUCCUCCCUGUGGUUGUCUCCUGGAUAACUCCUACGUAGUUCAAAGCCCCCCUCUAAUACCUGUCUUCUUGCGGGCUGAUCCAAUUGCCCUAUUUUGUACUCUUAAGGGUAUCCUGGCUCUUCCGUUAUCCAUCUCUUUGAAAUUAUUGCCUGUGCACCUCCCUAGACAAAGAGCACCUUGAAGCCAAGAACUGGGUCUUAGGUCUCUUUGAAUCUCCAUACAAAAUGCCCCACACAACACUUGAUGCAAAUAGAAGUCAGUCACCUGCAAAUAUGGAAAAUACAACCCCUUGUCCCAACUCUCAGUGGAAACCAGCUAAGCGCAUGAGUGAGUCCCAUUGCACAGUCAGUCUGAAUGGAGCCUCCAGGGUUUUUUUUUUGCUGAGAUGACAAACGGUGGCAGAUGUAUUAAGGGCAGAUCAUUAGCAAGAGCUUCCCUCCUUUCCUGAGGCUUGUCUUCCUUUUUACCCCUGAAGGCCUAGCAUUUUAACAUAUCCAGACAUUAACUACUUUCCUCCACCUCUGCUACCACUACAGCUGGUCUACGCCAACAUCAUCUCUUGCUUGGAUUAUUGCAACAGCAUCCUAGGUGGUCUCCCUGCUUUACCUUUCCCAGGGUGCAGUCCCAUCUCCCUGGAUCUGAAAGCUAAAAUCUUUUCAGGUAUAUUCAGUGCCCUGCAGGAUCUGGCCCCUGUGAGCUCUGUGACUCCACCUCCUACCCAGCUACUUGGUUGUCCUCACUGUCUCUCAGGCACCAGGUCCUCUCCCACCCCAGGACCUGGACUGUCCCUCCCUUGCCUAGGACCCUCCUGCCCCACUGUCAUCAGCACCCUGUCCUUUCCUUCCUCUGCUCUGACCCCCUCAGUCAGGCAUCAUGCCUGGCCAAAUCCCCCAAACAUUACCACCUCCGACUCUUGCGCCGAUGUUUCCUCUUGGGCUCUCUGCUUUAUUUUUUACUUAGUCCCUGAUGCUAACUAGAAUACCACAUGCUUUACUACUGAUCGUGGUGUUUAUUUUCUCUCUUCCCAAAGGCAGUGAACUAGAACUGCUUGGGUCAUUUCUGUAUCCUCCAAACCCAGAACUCUGUCUGGUACAGUGGCGGCGAUGAGUAUUGGUUGAAUGAAUGAGUUCUGAUUCAAGGCUGACCUCAUAUCUCCUGGGUAAAAAGGGAUAGGUCUAGGGAGUUCCUGCUGAGGCACAGUGCAUUAUGAUCCAGUUUAUCUCUGUGGAGGCACCAGUUCAAUCCCCGGCCUGGCACAGUGGGUUAAGGAUCUGGAGUUGCUGCCCCUGUGGUGGAGGUCGCAGCUCCAGCUCCGGUUUGAUCCCUGGCCAGGGAACUUUCAUGUGCUGGGGGGAAAAAAAGGUGGGGGGAGGAUGGUUCUAGGAGUUCUCGUGCAGUGCAGUAAGUGAAAGAUCUGCACCACAAGAGAACUUCAAUUGAUUGCAGGUUUGAUCCCUGGCCUGGGAACUUCCACAUGCUGCUAGCCAGCCAAAAAAAAAAAAAAAAAAAAAAAACCCUAAACACCCAACAAAAAAAGGAUGGUUCUAGAGAGUUCCCUGGUGGUUUAGUCAUAAUGAUGCAGUGCUUUCACCCCUGCAGCCCAGGUUCAGUCCUUUCUCUGGAAACUGAGAUCCUAUAUCAAGAAAAAA